rnacentral:rRNA from 1 species
GACGAACGCUGGCGGCGUGCCUAACACAUGCAAGUAGAACGCACAGUUUAUACCGUAGCUUGCUACACCAUAGACUGUGAGUUGCGAACGGGUGAGUAACGCGUAGGUAACCUGCCUGGUAGCGGGGGAUAACUAUUGGAAACGAUAGCUAAUACCGCAUAAUAUUAAUUAUUGCAUGAUAAUUAAUUGAAAGGUGCAAUUGCACCACUACCAGAUGGACCUGCGUUGUAUUAGCUAGUAGGUGAGGUAACGGCUCACCUAGGCGACGAUACAUAGCCGACCUGAGAGGGUGAUCGGCCACACUGGGACUGAGACACGGCCCAGACUCCUACGGGAGGCAGCAGUAGGGAAUCUUCGGCAAUGGACGAAAGUCUGACCGAGCAACGCCGCGUGAGUGAAGAAGGUUUUCGGAUCGUAAAGCUCUGUUGUAAGAGAAGAACGGGUGUGAGAGUGGAAAGUUCACACUGUGACGGUAUCUUACCAGAAAGGGACGGCUAACUACGUG